rnacentral:lncRNA from 13 species
AUGCCGGCUCUGGGUGCCGUCUCCACAAAGCUCCCUCCCCAGGGGGAUUCCCACAGAGGAAUUUUCUCAAGGAAGGUCCCGUGUCAGGAAUGCUGCUCGGGUACGGGUUCCCACCAGCCUACACGCAGGGCACGGGCUCACACGGCAGGGUGGGCUGCCUCUUUAAAGGCGCGAACCUCAGGGACCCCCGAGUCUGGCUCCUCAAGUCUGGGCAUCAAACUUUCUCCUAGAACAAAACCUCUUCGAACCCACAAGGAGACAAGAGGAGGACAGAGCCCGGGGAUGCCAUCAGCUGCGGCCGGGAGACAGCGCUCCCACCCCCGCCCGCUUCCCUCAGCCCCCACCCUCUUCCUCCGAGGGAAGGCGGCCCCGGCUGCACAGCCCCGCCCGGCCCCACCCACUCGCUCCCCGGCCCACCGCCUGGGCGACGGAGCCCACAGCCUCACAAAGCCACCUCCCGGGCGCUGCGGUUCCCCAGGGCGAGGGGCGAUCCGGGGAAGAAGCAAGCAGACUCAAUGUGGAUGAAGUGUGGAGGGGAUUUUGAGAGAUGAAGCUUGAAAUACAACUGUAUUGACCCUUGAACAAGGUGGGUUUGAACUGCAGGUGUUCACAUAUACACAGAUUUUUUCAACCAAACAUGAUGAAAAAUACAGAUUUCAUGGGAGGCUAAACCUACAUAUACUAAGGGCUGACUUUCCCUAUCUGCCUUCCGAGAAGUAUGCACAGGUAUACAUGGAGUCCUGGAACCAAUCCCCUGCAUGUACUGAAGGAUGCCUGUAUAUGUUUCUUUUAACCUAAACUUCCUAUACUAACCCUGCCUUUGUAUAUUUCCAGAUUCCUCCUGCCCCAGGAAAACUAGAUAUGUACUUAAGAGAGAAAAGAAAUAAGCUUGAAAUAUUUUAACAGUUACCAUAGAAAGAAAAAAAUUUCAUAUUAUAUGCAAGGAAAGUCAAGCACGAUGUAUAAUUAUUCAGAAUCAACCACUAAAAAGCUCUUCAGUAGAAUAAAGAAUAGUUAUGCCAAAGGAAGCGAUUGUUU